rnacentral:lncRNA from 1 species
ACCAGAAAACACCGCUCGGGCGGGGGCCGGGUCACGCCGGCGGGGCGGCGGCUCUGGGCCCCGGGGCGCGCCCGGCGCGGGGAGGGGUUCUGCGGCCUCCUCCCGGGCUGCGCCUCGCUGAGGGGACCCCCCGCCGCCUCCCCGCCCCCUCCUUCCUCCCGCUCGGGGCCGCCGCCGAUCGGUUCUCGCCGUCGCCGCGGGGCUUGUUGUUGACUUUGAGGAAAACUCCUGACGUCAGGGGCUGGCUCUCGGCGACUGCCGGGAGCGGGGGCAGUCGCUCCCGGGCGGGAAGUUCUGGGUUUCCCCCUCGCCCGCGUGGCCCUUGGCGGGCACCCGAGGCCCGGGAGCGGAGGCUCCUCGCCCAGCCGCUUCCUCGGCGCAUCCGCCCACCCGCCCUGGCCGCGGACGCGCGCGCCGCCAGGCCCCGGGCGUCUCCUCCAGUCCGCCGCGGCCCCUUGGGGAGAUGGGCCCGGCGCGAGGGCUCGCACCUGGAAGCCCACGAAGUGGGCGGUGCCCAAUGAGGAGACCACGGCAGACCAAAAACACCUCUCUGAACAGCCUUCCGCACCGCUCGCUGCAAGCAUUCGUCCACACACGGUACACAGAUUGCGGGCGGAUCGUAAUUCACUCUUGAAAUCACACCCUUUUUAGGGAUAUUCGUUUUCAAUGACUUUGGGAAAGCCACGAGGUACUACAUUUACUACGAAGAGACCGUUUCUUUAUUUUGAAGUCAGUGACUCCUGAGACUGCAUUGGGGACAACUUUUUUGCACAAUGACCAUAUUUUACCAUGCAGCGCACUUCAGAAAAUUAUAAAAGUUUACAAGUUUUAUCGCUUCUGGAAACACCUGGGCAGCAUCCCUAUUAUCCCGCCACGUGGCUCUAGCCUUGUUGAUGUACCUGUUACUUUCUCCCACUGCAACAUUUUUGUUAAUGUCUGUGGCUUCUUUCUGCAGAAGAGUUCCUCCUCCUGACAUGCACUUCAUUCUCUGCUUUUCUAUGUCUUGACAACUCUCUUAUGGUAGUCAUUUUCUUAUACUGUAGCCCCCUGGUAUUUAUGUACUGUGUGGUAUUAAUAUUUAUACUUCCAGGUUCACAUCUUUUAUGAACUGUGCAUCUGUUGGGAUUGUGGACAGGAGUAGGAAACCAAAUAAAAGGGUUUUUUAAAAAAGUCAGUUUUCUCCGUUUGUAAGGGAAACUUGUCUCCCUGACCACCCUGGAGCAAAAUUUGCCAUUUUAAGAUAACACAGUCCGUCUGAGAGAAAGUCCUGCACCAUGCCUUUCCCCUUUUCCCAUAUUUCCCAGCAUGCUAUGAGCUGAUGAAUAAACAGACUUUGUCCUAUUUUCGUUGUAUCUAUAAAAUAUACAUAAUGUAUUCCCAUAAUUAUCAGACCUCUCACAGUCACUAUUGGUAAAAUUAUUGGGUUACAGGUUUCUUGCUGUAAAACACAAAAAUAGGUCAUAUUUUUAUUCCAUAGUACCCCAACUUGCUUUUUAUUUUUAAGAAAAUAGUCCCUUAUGACACCAGCACUAAAAAGAGUGUCUGAAACUUUAAAUACUUAACUUUUGAGAGUCAGAGUAUCCGGAAUUACUGAAUUACUAGAUAUCUCUUAUCAGUGAGAUGUUCAUUUGUUCCCAAAUUUAACAUCAAUAUAUUUACAAGAACUGAAUGUGUCUUAUGAGCCAUACUACCUCAAAAUAUUUCUCCCAGUCUGGUCAGAUUGCAUUAAAUCUUAGGUGGAUUAAACCCUAAAAUUCAGUAUGUGAGAAUGGAUUAUAUACUCUCGGCUUCAUGUAUUUGAAGAAUUAUAAGUUUUUAUUUCUGUUCAAUUUUUGCUUGUGGACUAUAGUAGUUUCAUAAGUUUCCAUAAUAAAAGCAUGUUUGAUUUUGUUAUUGAAUUACUAUUGAUUAGGGAUAUUAUUUAUUUAAAUAACGUUGUUCUUUCUCUUAGACUAUGCCGGUAUGAAUUUGGUAGAAUCUGCCGAUUGUGGUAUGUCGGUACUCCAUACAGAGUGUGUGGCAGAUUUCUUCUCUAUUUUGUUAUCACAUCCAGUAAUAUGGAGUGCAGCCAGCAUGUUCAUCCCUGGGAAUGUCCCUCCUAAAUUUUGCAAAGAAAGCCUUCAUUCUUUAUUAC